CGAUUCGGAGUUCGGACUGCCCAGUAAGAAUCAUUCAGGAACAAGCAACAGCAGCAUGGAAAUUUGACGCUUGAUGUAUCCAUGGAUUGAGAAUCGACCGGUCAAGGUUCAUGGUAGCAGCAGAGAACAUUGAAGAGCAGAUCCGUUUAAAAUCACAGGUUGCACUUCCCCCCGUUGACCGUUAAGUGCUCCUUCACAUUAUGUGCCCUCUGGAAGAAAUAACUUGAGCCUCCAGAAGAGGAACAAUGCAAAGCUGAUUCUCUUACUCCCUGAUAUGGCUCGCUUCUGAUGAACGGCUCUUCACAGAGCUGAUUAUUUUGCACAGACUGCAUUGGUUAAACUUAUGGGGCUGUCACAUGAUGAACGAACGACUCAAUCCCGAAGAUUCAUAGAACAGAGCUGGAAAUGAUGGCCACAUUUGUAUUCAAAGCCACAUAUUACCUGCUUCAAUCUACAGUCAAACUGACAGACGAGCCACACUCUCUAAGUCAAGGACGUAUGACUAAGCACUGGAGUCUGCUCAGCUUUGAUUCACAGUUGAUUCCAGCUGUUCAUGAGCCUGAGGAUGGUGUGCGGACGCAUGUGACAGAUGUGCUAGCAAAAGUAUAAUGAGUGCAGAUUUGUACCAAUGAACUCGCUGAAUCAUAAUGAGCUUCAACUGAAAACCCCAACAGGUUUUGUAGACUUUAAUGAAGACAGGCAGUAGGUGAUGAGAUGCCACUGAUACCCACUGAUUUACAUACAUCUUGUAAAUCAAAAAGAAAACAAGAUUAUGUUUCAGCUUCUAAAUUUUUUAUAUCAUGAAGCAGGAAUUCUCUUUGUAAAUGGGCAGUGCUGUUUCAGGGUCACUUUUGUUGUGGACCUGUUGGACGUCAGCUGUUUUCAUAUCAACCAAAAACAGGCCAAACUCUGACAUCAAAUAGACACAGCUUUUAUUUGAAAAGAGAAUAAUAAGGUAAAUGACAGUUCACACAGGACAUGUUCUUGCAGUUUAUUUGCACUGUUUUGUUUUUUUAUUGGUCAUGUACAGUACGCACGGUAAACCUAUAUAUUGAUGUCACUGAUCCAUUUCUGGGUUCUGAAAUCCUGUUCAGAUUCCGUCUGAUUUUUGCAUGUGCUUUGUCUAUGCUGCCCAAUCUAUAAAGAUAGAUAGAUGUUAUGGAAAAGAAGAAAUGCACACAACCCAGAUAGCAUGUGGAUGUGGGCCACUUAAAGCAAUAAUAUAGCACUGCUGGCAUACUUAUGGCCCGGACAAAAUGGAUGUGAUCCUGAAGUGGCCCAUAUUUAAAGCAGCAAAAAAUGGACCAAAAGUAUAAAAACAUAUGUAGGCCUAAAGAUGUGGUGUUGUAGGCAAUGUGUAAUCUGAAUGUGACCCUAAAGUGACCCAUGUUAUAUAAAGUGAUUAUGGCCCAAAUAGUGCCAACCAAAAAUGUGGCAUUAUCGACAAAGGCUAAUCAGGGUGUAAACCAAAUGUGGUCUACAUGUAUUUAAACAAAUGUGGCCCAGGUACAUUCAAACAUAUCUGGGCCAGUUUUGGCGAAUAUAUGGCACAGUAAGCACUGGCUAUUUGUGAGCCUAAGGUGGCUUGCAUAUUAUACCAAUGUGGCCCAGUUAUCCUAAAACAUAGUUGGGCCAGUUUUGGGAAAGAAAUGGCAGAAUGAGCAGUGACUAAUGUGGCUGUGAGACUAAAAUGGCCCUUAUAUGAUGCCGCAAAUGUGAACAGAACAGGUCAAGGGGCUGCUAUCAACAGCUGAGUUAGCUCUGAUAGCCACAGUAGGUUCAUCUAAAGUGGGGCCAUCAGAAGAACCUUGUGUUUCUGUUCCCUUACUCCCCUGAUUACCUGUGGGAUCAGAUUGAUCGGGGUAAAAGCAUAAAGGAGAAGGUUUGGACAAUCAUGGACCAAAGCAUCCUUUGUAUUUAAGAAAUAAACUGGAGAGAUGUCUUCUGCGGCGAAUAGGUCUACUUUGGCCUUUCCAAAGAUCUCCUAGAUCCUCUAAACCGUUUAUGGUUGGAGCAUCCACUCCCCUGAGGGAACAUUGUUCCUUGGUUUUUGCCCAUUAUAUGUGCUGCCCUCAGCGAGCUCUGAAGAGAUGCUUUGAGGAGAGGAAGCCUUCCUGGCGAUUUAUGUAGGGCAUCACAGAUAUCUCCAAUCCGAUUAGCACAUGGCAUCCUUUUAGGACUAGCAGGAAGAACUGACAGGUUCAACAUACUGCUAGUAUCUCCAGGCAGUUGAUGUGGAAACCCUUUUUCUGCCUUUCGACCAUUGGCCGAAAGUUGGUGUGCCUUGGCACAGUGCCCGCCAACCUGGUUGGAGGUGUAUGUCAUGACAAUUGUCCUUCUGCAAGCCAUCCUGCAAGACCUGUUCCAUCCAACACAGGCCUGACUCACCCUGAUGUGCAGGCGUCUGUGAUACCAGGCAUGGGAUGGAACUUGUGGUUUCAACCAGCAUUGGAGAAGGAACAUUUGAAGCAUCCUUUGAAACACUUUAAGGGGUGAGUGGAACCAAUCUUGAAAGAGGUCACCAGCCUCCAUUAUAGCCCGAGCCCGAUUCAGUGCAACUACAGCUCUCAUUUGGCCUGAGUCGAAAAUUUAUCCCAGGAAUGAUAUUUGCUAGCUGGGGAACAACAUGCUCCCAGGCACUCCAGGUGGCUGAAAAGGAGGGUCCUCUUUGAUAUGAAUUCUUCAUCUGACUGGGUCAGAAGGAAGUUGAGGUAGUUGAGAAUGCAGUUUUUAAUCUGUCUCUGAUGGGAGAGCAUCCAUGUACUACGUAAAAGUGCAGGGGACAAGUAGUAUGCAUCCAGCAAAAAAGAACUAGACUCUUGAGUGAAUUUGCGCAAAGAUCUGUUUCAGCUUAGUCAUCCUGAACAACCUUUUCAUGAGGGCAUGAUUCAGGUGUCUGAGAUAAAGGAUGGGCCAGAGGCCACCAUAUAUUUUGGGGAUGAUGCAGUAGUGGCUGUGGAAGCCUGACUCAUUCUGAGCUGGGUGAACCAUUUCUACGACUCAUAAUGCCAGCAAAUGCCAGGGCUUACCUGCUAGAAAUAAGCUCUUUCAUAAUCGCUGGAAGACGGCAAGGGAAACGUACCGGAACUGCUGCAUUGCUGUAGAAGGUGUAUUCAUCGGCGAGUGGCUUCAAAUCAGUGUAGAGACAUAGUGGACAAUGAAGGAGAAGAAAUCUGAGAAUCCUGUGGUGAAUGCCCGCUUAUAUAGCCAGAGCGCCCAUUCUGGCAGGCUUUGGCAAGUUUGGCGGGCUUUGUACCAUAGGCUCGUGCAGCUCCACUGCCUAGCCAUUGGUUCAUAUUUUAAUACACUGCACAAUACACUGGCUGUGCAGUGUCACUGCAUGAAUGAAAAAGGCUUCAGUUCAGGAGAAAAAUGGCUUUUUCCCAUAUGCGUCUAGCAAGACGCAGUACGAGUGUAAUAUCGAAAGGGAACCAUAAUUGUUCAGAAUGUGCAGUUUUACUAGUUGAUAAGAAAAUACUUUAAUGUUGUAAAAAAUCUGAUCAUAAAGAUGUGAUACUUAUUACUUUUACAAAUAAAAAAAUAUAUAAAAAUGCUGUUUUGUGUCAAGGUUAUGCAAUGACGUCAUCACGCAAUGACAUCACGUCAUUUAUCAACAAAUCGAUCUGCCUUUAGCUACUUCUACUUAACACUGGAUGAGUGGCCGUCCACAGGGGGCCAAAGGUGUUUGAUGAAGUGAAGGAAGAUACCCUGGGGUGCAGAGGCCAGUGAAAGGCCAUGCAGGUUCUUCUAACACAGUUGUGUUUCUAGCCAGCACUCUGGCAUCUCAGCACCCAACAAAAAGCGGCUGAACCUUCUGCUCUCCUCUGAGCUAAUGGACACCAAAAUAAACUACGCAUCAUUAAUCAGUGGUCUGUCACAUUACACCUGCUGUGCUGCUGGAGAGGCAGCCCUUUAUCUCUCACACUGAACUCCACUCU